rnacentral:lncRNA from 1 species
UGAGAGAUUUAAUAUAGCUCUGGGUCAGUAUAUGGGAGCAUUGCAGAGCAUCGUGCCUCUUUUCAUAUAUAUGAAUAAGUUUUACAUAGAAACUAAGCUUAACAGAGACUUAAAAGAUGACCUUAUAAAACUGUUUACGGAACAUGUUGCAGAGAAGCACAUUUACAGCCUAAUGCCUUUACUUUUAGAAGCCCAGUCAACACCAUUUCAGGUCACACCUUCAACUAUGGCAAAUAUUGUGAAAGGCCUGUACACUCUCAGACCAGAAUGGGUUCAGAUGGCUCCGACAUUGUUUUCUAAGUUUAUUCCAAACAUUCUGCCCCCAGCUGUGGAAUCUGAACUUUCUGAGUACGCUGCCCAAGAUCAAAAGCUUCAAAGAGAACUCAUACAGAACGGUUUUACCAGAGGUGACCAGUCCCGGAAGAGAGCUGGAGAUGAGUUGGCUUACAACAGUCCAUCCGCUUGUGCAAGUUCCAGAGGGUAUAGAUAGUGACUGUUGAACUACGUUUCUCCCGAGAGAAGACACACUGGAGCUACAGAAACUGUUCCAGGCACAGUGGGGCCUGCACCACUCAGGAGCUCUGUCAGAGGCUGUUCUCAGAGAGGAUACCGGACUUCUUUCUUUGAUUUUCAGUUUUUAAAAACAAGAACUAACAAAAACAAUUGCUGCUAGACUGGGGGGUGAUUUGAAGUGGGACAAUCUUUUAAUCUACAGAGCAAGUGUCUUGGAGAGCGGCCGUUGCUAAAGGGAAGCUCAACAUUUGAAUCAGCUUCCUCCAGAAAUACAAGAACGAAAGAAUCUUUUUUUUUUUAAA